GGGGGUUAUCCACGUCUAUUUCAUGAUAAGAAAAACAAUUGACUACAAUAGGUUAUCUACGACUGCUCCUUACGGCUUCCCAUGGUGGCUCUCCUCCUCGUCUUUAUGUUAAAUCUUCUAGGCAUCUUCAAGUCAUCCUUUUAGCUGCUCUUAUUUCGACAAGUGUUUGCCCUAUUUUGAGGAAAUCAAGUGUUUAGCAAGCCAUGAGAAUGGCAAGAAAACUUUAGAAAAGAAAUAAUAUAUGCUUAAUGGUGUGUGGCGUGUAUCUCUCUCUGGUGUGCUGUGUUGAUGAAUGAAAAUGAAGUCCCUUUUUAUAGCCUCUAGCCCC
rnacentral:lncRNA from 1 species